GGCUGGGUGGCAGAAUGGUUUAAUGCGGAGGACUGCAAAUCCUUUUACACCGGUUCAAUUCCGGUCCCGGCCU
rnacentral:tRNA from 1 species